rnacentral:rRNA from 1 species
CAGUAGCCGCGGUAAUACGUAGGUCCCGAGCGUUGUCCGGAUUUAUUGGGCGUAAAGGGAGCGCAGGCGGUUUAGUAAGUCUGGAGUUAUAGGCAUUGGCUCAACCAAUGUAUGCUUUGGAAACUGUUUGACUUGAGUGCAGAAGGGGAGAGUGGAAUUCCAUGUGUAGCGGAGAAAUGCGUAGGUAUAUGGAGGAACACCGGUGGCGAAAGCGGCUCUCUGGUCUGUCACUGACGCUGAGGCUCGAAAGCGUGGGUAGCGAACAGGAUUAGAUACCCCCGUAGUCCCUGUCUCUUAUACA